CAGGCACUGUCCUAAGCACUUUGAGAUUUUAUCUCACAAUAUCCACGCAACUGUCCUAGGAGGUAGCUACUAUUGUUGUCCCUAUUUUACCAAGGAGGAACCUGAGGAGUUAAUCCAUUUGUCUAAGGUCACUUGGUAAGUAAAAAUUGGAAGACAGGCUUCCAGGUCUAUCAGACUCCAAAGAUCUGCACUCUGAACCCCCGUGUUUCUCAGCAGGUGGAACACCUGACUUUUAUGAGUGACACAAGUAUAAAGUUGGAAUGCAAAUCAUUACUCUGGUGCAUCCCUGGGCCCCCAGCAGUAUGGCUGGUUUGGUUCAGGGCCUUUGUUGAAGGUUCAGGUCUGCUUCGCAGAUGGCUUGAAAAGGAGGAUGAAGAGGAAGGGGAGGAAGAGGAGGAGAAGUAAGUUGCUUUUAGGCUGUAUUUAGCAUAUUCUAAGGCAAUUAGUGAAUGCUCUUUUUUGUGUUUCAGAUGAAUGGUGGCCCCUUCAGUGAUGAUAGAAUCCACCAGUCUCCCAUUUAGAAGGAACCUAACAACAUGUAGUUGAGGCUUCUGCCUCCAGGAAAGAUUGGAGAGAUGACCCUCCAGACCUGUUUCCUUAUCACUACAAAUGGG
rnacentral:lncRNA from 1 species